rnacentral:rRNA from 1 species
GACAGCGGAGGGAUCAUUAACGAGUUGAUUCAACUCCCAAACCCAUGUGAACUUACCUAUGUUGCCUCGGCAGGUCAGGUCCUGCCCGGAGCGCCCCCUACAGGGCCCUGUAGGGGGCGUGACUGGUGGCCGCCUACCCUGCCGGUGGCCCAUUCAACUCUAUUGACUAUGUGGCAUUCUGAAUCGUAUACAAAUACGUUAAAACUUUCAACAACGGAUCUCUUGGUUCUGGCAUCGAUGAAGAACGCAGCGAAAUGCGAUAAGUAAUGUGAAUUGCAGAAUUCAGUGAAUCAUCGAAUCUUUGAACGCACAUUGCGCCCAUUAGUAUUCUAGUGGGCAUGCCUGUUCGAGCGUCAUUUCAACCCCUUAAGCCCUGUUGCUUAGCGUUGGGGGCUACGGCUUGCCGUAGUUCCUUAAAGUGAGUGGCGGAGUUAGUGUAUCUCUAGACGUAGUAAUUCUUUAUCUCGCCUACGGAUGCGCUGGCGCCCUGCCGUAAAACCCCCCUAAUGAUUUACAAGGUUGACCUCGGAUCAGGUAGGAAUACCCGCUGAACUUAAGCAUAUCAAUAAGCGGAGGAAAAGAAACCAACAGGGAUUGCCCUAGUAACGGCGAGUGAAGCGGCAACAGCUCAAAUUUGAAAUCUGGCCUUCGGGUCCGAGUUGUAAUUUGUAGAGGAUGCUUUUGGCGCGGUGCCUUCCGAGUUCCCUGGAACGGGACGCCUUAGAGGGUGAGAGCCCCGUACGGUUGGACACCAAGCCUCUGUAAAGCUCCUUCGACGAGUCGAGUAGUUUGGGAAUGCUGCUCUAAAUGGGAGGUAAAUUUCUUCUAAAGCUAAAUAUUGGCCAGAGACCGAUAGCGCACAAGUAGAGUGAUCGAAAGAUGAAAAGCACUUUGAAAAGAGGGUUAAAUAGCACGUGAAAUUGUUGAAAGGGAAGCGUUUGCGACCAGACCUUUUCCCGGUGGAUUCGUCCGCCGGGUUGAGGCCAGCAUCGGUUUCUGCAGGGGGAUAAAAAUAGGGGGAACGUAGCUCCCUCGGGAGUGUUAUAGCCCCCUAUAUAAUACCCUUGCGGUGACCGAGGACCGCGCUCGGCAAGGA